rnacentral:lncRNA from 1 species
UUAGUUAUAACUUAGUCCUCUUUUCUUUUUUCCUUUUUUUAAAUUUAUUUUAUUUUAUGUAUAUGAGUACACUUAGCUGUAUAGACUUUUGUGAGCCUUCAUGUGGUUGUUGGGUAUUGAAUUUAGAACCUCGCUCUGGCACAAAGAUUUAUUUUAUUAUUAUAUGCAAGUACACUGUAGCUGUCUUCAGACAGACCAGAAGAGGGCGUCAGAUCUCAUUGCAGGUGGUUUUGAGCCACCAUGUGGUUGCUGGGAUUUGAACUGGGGACCUCUAGAAGUGCUUUUAACUGCUGAGCCAUCUCGCCAGCCUCCCCCCCCCCCCUUUUUUUUUUUGUAUAUGAAUGCUUUGUCUGCAUGUUAGAAGAAGGCACUAAAUCUCCUUUUUUUUUUUUUCUUUUCUUUUUUUAAAGAUUUAUUUCAUGUAUUUGACUAUAUUGUCACUGUCUUCAGACACACCAGAAGAGGGCAUAGGAUUCCCAUUACAGAUGGUUGUAAGCCACCAUGUGGUUACUGGGAAUUGAACUCAGGAUCUCUGGAAGAGCAACUAGUGCUAUUAAUUUCUGAACCAUCUCACUAGCCUGACUAGUUUUUAAACUAGGUAAUGAAUAGGUAAUGAAAUUCUCCUGUUUUUGUAACUUUUUUUUUAGUUAUCCAUCCAAAUGAUAUUAAAAUAAAUUUAUCUUUGCUAGGUCCAGCUUAAAAUCUUUUCUGUGGCAUCUCGUGAACAUAAAUUAUGUUUUAUGGGGCUGGAGAGAUGACUCAGCAGUUAAGACCUCUAGCUGUAAUUGCAGAGGAUCUGCGUUCUGUUUGUAGUUCAAACAGAACCUCAUUGUAGCUUGUAACCACUCAUACCUUUUAGUUUUAAUGUAUUUGAGGGUUUGCAUGUGUGUAAUUGCCCCACAUGCAUACUUGGUGCCUUAUGAAGCCAGAGCGUUGGAUCCCUUGGAACUGGAUUUAUAGAGGCUGUCAGCUGCUGUGUGGGUGCUGGAAGCUGAACCUGGGUCCUAUUUAAAGUGUCUAAAUCUUACCUUUCUGAUUUUGUUCUUAUACAUAUACAGAUAUGCUCUAUUUGGAAAUACUGGUACUUGUAGUACAGGCUGUUUAAAAGGAUAAGGCAGUGAGAAUAUUUUUAAGCCUGUGAGUUCAAGGCUAGCCUAAAUAGGUAGUUCAACAUGUAAAAGCACUUGUCCUCAAGCUUGAUGGCCUGAAUUCAAUCAUAGACACAUACAUAUAGAAGGAGAAGUUCCCAAAAGUUUUCCAGUGACUAUUACAUGUUCACAUAUACUCAAACACUAAAGUAGGAAAAAAUGAUAAAGAAAUAUUUUUCUGACUGAUCUAAGGAAUCUCACCUCCUCACAUUACUGCCUGAUGAUUUUUGGUGGUUUGUAGAGCCAAACUGCAGUGGGCCAGUGAUGGCUUCUUGGAUGCAGGUGCUUACCAUUAAGUCUAAGAACAUACAUUCCAUCUUAAGGACUCAGGAGGUGAAAAGAGAGAGUUGGCUCUUGAGAAUUAUUUUUUGAUCUCUACUAGUGUGGUGUAGCAUAUUCCUUGUUAACUAUACAGAGUAGAAAUAUAAUUUUUGGCUGUUUUUUAUGUUUUUUGGAGUACAUGUUUCUUCUUCAUUCUACCCUGUGGAUCCUGAGGGUUGAACUCAGGUCAUCAAACUUGGCAGGAGUAAUCUUUUCCCACAGAGCCCAUUAUCUAGCCACAGUUUUAAAUGUAACCUAUAGUGGGCAAUUUGGGGAAGGCUUGAAUUGGGCCUCUCUUUUUCUUCUUUUUCUCUGUUACUUUCCCUUUUUCUUUUUUGAUUUGUUUUUGUUUGUUUUGAAAUAGAGUCUGUCUUUAUAGGCCAUACUUGCCAUCAACUCAUCAAUUCUCACUAUUGGAAAUAGUUUUGUCAGGUAUGGUGGCACAUGUCUUUAAUCUCUGCCUUUGGAAGCAGAAUCAGGUUCAUAUCUGAGUUCAAGGCUAUCCUGGUCUACACAAUGAGUCCAGGACAGCCAGAGGUUUAUAAUAGAGAGAUGUGGCCCC